AGUCGAAACCUCCCUUAUGGGAGGUCUGCAGGAGGUGGCCUACCUGCACUGAUGAGACAGGCCGAA
rnacentral:hammerhead_ribozyme from 1 species